GUACUGCUGACGAAUCCCAAACAGGACGAAACAGCUGUUCAGUGC
rnacentral:hammerhead_ribozyme from 1 species